rnacentral:rRNA from 1 species
CUCUAUGGCCACACCACCCUGACUGUGUCUCAUCUCAGAAGCUAAGCAGGGCUGGGCCGAGACAGUUCUUAGAUGGGGUUCUCCUCAAACAGCAGUCUUCAACUGCUAAGGAGG